AGUGAACGCUGGCGGUAGGCCUAACACAUGCAAGUCGAACGGCAGCACAGUAAGCGCUUGCUCUUACGGGUGGCGAGUGGCGGACGGGUGAGGAAUACAUCGGAAUCUACUUUUUCGUGGGGGAUAACGUAGGGAAACUUACGCUAAUACCGCAUACGACCUACGGGUGAAAGCAGGGGAUCUUCGGACCUUGCGCGUUUGAAUGAGCCGAUGUCGGAUUAGCUAGUUGGCGGGGUAAAGGCCCACCAAGGCGACGAUCCGUAGCUGGUCUGAGAGGAUGAUCAGCCACACUGGAACUGAGACACGGUCCAGACUCCUACGGGAGGCAGCAGUGGGGAAUAUUGGACAAUGGGCGCAAGCCUGAUCCAGCCAUGCCGCGUGGGUGAAGAAGGCCUUCGGGUUGUAAAACCCUUUUGUUAGGAAAGAAAAGAAGCAGGUUAAUACCCCGCUGUUCUGACGGUACCCAAAGAAUAAGCACCGGCUAACUUCGUG
rnacentral:rRNA from 1 species